CCAGACUCCUACGGGAGGCAGCAGUGAGGAAUAUUGGUCAAUGGGCGGAAGCCUGAACCAGCCAAGUCGCGUGAGGGAAGAAGGCCCUGCGGGUCGCAGACCUCUUUGGACGGGGAGCAAGGCCGCCGACGUGUCGGCGGAAGGAGAGUACCCGUAGAACAAGCAUCGGCUAACUCCGUGCCAGCAGCCGCGGUAAUACGUAGGGGGCAAGCGUUAUCCGGAUUUACUGGGUGUAAAGGGAGCGUAGACGGCGAAGAAAGUCUGGAGUGAAAGCCCGCGGCUUAACCGCGGAACUGCUUUGGAAACUUUUUGGCUGGAGUACCGGAGAGGUAAGCGGAAUUCCUAGUGUAGCGGUGAAAUGCGUAGAUAUUAGGAGGAACACCAGUGGCGAAGGCGGCUUACUGGACGGUAACUGACGUUGAGGCUCGAAAGCGUGGGGAGCAAACAGGAUUAGAUACCCGUGUA
rnacentral:rRNA from 1 species